rnacentral:rRNA from 1 species
CGUACACUCCUACGGGAGGCAGCAGUGGGGAAUAUUGCACAAUGGGCGCAAGCCUGAUGCAGCCAUGCCGCGUGUAUGAAGAAGGCCUUCGGGUUGUAAAGUACUUUCAGCGGGGAGGAAGGCAAUACGGUUAAUAACCGUGUUGAUUGACGUUACCCGCAGAAGAAGCACCGGCUAACUCCGUGCCAGCAGCCGCGGUAAUACGGAGGGUGCAAGCGUUAAUCGGAAUUACUGGGCGUAAAGCGCACGCAGGCGGUCUGUCAAGUCGGAUGUGAAAUCCCCGGGCUCAACCUGGGAACUGCAUUCGAAACUGGCAGGCUUGAGUCUUGUAGAGGGGGGUAGAAUUCCAGGUGUAGCGGUGAAAUGCGUAGAGAUCUGGAGGAAUACCGGUGGCGAAGGCGGCCCCCUGGACAAAGACUGACGCUCAGGUGCGAAAGCGUGGGAGCAAACAGGAUUAGAUACCCGUGUAGUCCCA